CUGCAGGAGGUGCCAAACUGCUGCACCACUGGGGCUGCCCUAAAAUGAUCUUUCUUGAGACAGAAGAGAGGAAUCAAAUUAAAUGACAGCUAAAUCACUUGCAGCAAUUUCAACUGUUAAAAGAAAUAAGUGUCUCUGUUUUCUUUGUGAUCACAAGAUGUGCUGUAAAGGGAAAUGAAAUACUAAAGAAAGAAGGGAAAACAUAAAGAAAUAAUGACUGACUUAUUGCAGUAAUACCAUGGAGAGAAGAAAAAUUCACUACAAAUAAAAGGAAAAGUAAUAUAGUGGA